UGGAUUCGCUAGUAAUCGCGCAUCAGCCAUGGCGGCGGUGAAUACGUUCCCGGGCCUUGUACACACCGCCCGUCAAGCCAUGGGAGCCGGGAGUGCCUGAAGUCCGUGACCGCGAGGAGCGGCCUAGGGUAAGACCGGUGACUGGGGCGUAAGUCGUAACAAGGUAUC
rnacentral:rRNA from 1 species